rnacentral:rRNA from 1 species
GAUGAACGCUGGCGGCGUGCUUAACACAUGCAAGUCGAACGAUGAAGCUCAGCUUGCUGGGUGGAUUAGUGGCGAACGGGUGAGUAACACGUGAGUAACCUGCCCUUAACUCUGGGAUAAGCCUGGGAAACUAGGUCUAAUACCGGAUAGGAGCGUCCACCGCAUGGUGGGUGUUGGAAAGAUUUAUCGGUUUUGGAUGGACUCGCGGCCUAUCAGCUUGUUGGUGAGGUAAUGGCUCACCAAGGCGACGACGGGUAGCCGGCCUGAGAGGGUGACCGGCCACACUGGGACUGAGACACGGCCCAGACUCCUACGGGAGGCAGCAGUGGGGAAUAUUGCACAAUGGGCGAAAGCCUGAUGCAGCGACGCCGCGUGAGGGAUGACGGCCUUCGGGUUGUAAACCUCUUUCAGUAGGGAAGAAGCGAAAGUGACGGUACCUGCAGAAGAAGCACCGGCUAACUACGU